AUUGAACGCUGGCGGCAGGCCUAACACAUGCAAGUCGAAUGGUAACAGGAAACAGCUUGCUGUUUCGCUGACGAGUGGCGGACGGGUGAGUAAUGUCUGGGAAACUGCCUGAUGGAGGGGGAUAACUACUGGAAACGGUAGCUAAUACCGCAUAACGUCGCAAGACCAAAGAGGGGGACCUUCGGGCCUCUUGCCAUCAAAUGUGCCCAGAUGGGAUUAGCUAGUAGGUGGGGUAACGGCUCACCUAGGCGACGAUCCCUAGCUGGUCUGAGAGGAUGACCAGCCACACUGGAACUGAGACACGGUCCAGACUCCUACGGGAGGCAGCAGUGGGGAAUAUUGCACAAUGGGCGCAAGCCUGAUGCAGCCAUGCCGCGUGUAUGAAGAAGGCCUUCGGGUUGUAAAGUACUUUCAGCGGGGAGGAAGGGAGUAAAGUUAAUACCUUUGCUCAUUGACGUUACCCGCAGAAGAAGCACCGGCUAACUCCGUG
rnacentral:rRNA from 1 species